rnacentral:lncRNA from 1 species
CCUGCUGUGACAGGCUCAGUUCUCUCGGAGAUGCUUCUGCCUCUGCUUCCCAGAGUCAGGCACAGCCCGGCCGCACUCAAGGUCACCAGGGGUCAGGACUGGAGCCCGGCCUUCCCGUGCCCCAGUGCUCUCGCCUCCCUCCUGGAAGGGGGACGUGUGGUGCUGAGGUUCUGCCCCAACUGCUUGCUGGCGUAGCUCAAGGGAGGACAGACUUGGCCUUGGUCCCGAGAGACACGGAGGAUGUGUCUCAGGGUCCUGGGGCCCGCGGCCACCCCCAGUGCCCCCACCACCUUCCAGAAGACUCCCCAGGGCGCAACCAGCCAGGAAGCACCCAGGACAGGGGACACCGAGGCCUGGGCCGGGCCCUGUCCCCAGCAGCAGCACCUCCUCACAGAGCACCCGACACUGUGGUCACCUCGCGUGUAAACCUCUCCAGGCUCCAUUGCUCCCAGGGUGAGGCCAGGCUCCCCAGCCGUGGCCCUGCCCGGUGUCCAGGUGACCUGGGACAAGGUGGCUUUGCACACGCUGCUCUGUCUCUGUCCCCUGCACCCUUCCCUCCUCCCCCGCCUCGUUUCUACCUGGAGCAGGUGGGCUCUGCUCCUCCCCUUCACCUGGGUGCAGGUGGAUCCUUCAAACCUCACCUCCCAGCUCCCUGGAUGCCCAGAGGGGACCGAGGGACAAGCCCCCCACACCUGUCUGUCUGUCUCUCUCCUCCCUCCCUCCUUCCCCACCUCAGGCAGCGUCUGCUUGGUGAAUCCUCAUGUCUGUGGUCCCAGCUUAGGAGCCGGCUCCUCUUCCUCUGUCCAGCCCACCCAGGGCGGCAGCAGCUUUGUGUCAUUCUUUCACCUUUUCAUCCUAGGCACUGAAUCCAGGACCUUUGCACUGAGUUACAUCUACAGCCCUUUUUUAUUUGGAGACAGGGUCUCAUGAGUCACUAAGUUGCCCAGGCUGGGCUUGAGUCAGUGAUCCUCCUGCCUCAGCCUCCCAGAGUGCUGGGAUCACAGGUGACUGAGUACACUGCUCAGAGAAGCUCCCCAUUCAUUCAUUGCACUGAGAUUCUUCAGCGUCUGGUGGCACCAGAUGGGCAGAUGGUGGCGGCCGGGAGUGAGGAUGACGGUGGGCAGAUGGAUGGAAAGAUAGGUGGCUGGGCCUGGCCACUGGAGCUCCCCUUUGGGCUGCUCCGAGCACAGGGCCAGCUGGUGCGGCGAGGGCAUCUACAGUUCCACCUGUUAGGGAGGCUGUAGCAGGAGCAUCACUCGAGCUCAGGAGUCUCAAGCCAGCCUGGAUAACAGACUAAGAGUUUAUCUCAACAGCAUUUUAAAAAUUAA